CCAAUAGCGUAUAUUAAAGUUGCUGCAGUUAAAAAGCUCGUAGUUGAAUUUCGGGACCAAUAUGUCGGUCGUGCCUCGGUACGUACUGGCAUCGUUGGUUUCUCCCUUCUGACGAACCAUGAUGUCAUUCAUUUGGUGUCGUGGGGAAUCAGGACUGUUACUUUGAAAAAAUUAGAGUGUUUAAAGCAGGCUCACGCUUGAAUACAUUAGCAUGGAAUAAUGAAAUAGGACGUUUGAUUCUAUUUUGUUGGUUUCUAGGAUCGACGUAAUGAUUAAUAGGGAUAGUUGGGGGCAUUAGUAUUCAAUUGUCAGAGGUGAAAUUCUUGGAUUUAUUGAAGACUAACUACUGCGAAAGCAUUUGCCAAGGAUGUUUUCAUUAAUCAAGAACGAAAGUUAGGGGAUCGAAGACGAUCAGAUACCGUCGUAGUCUUAACCAUAAACUAUGCCGACUAGGGAUCGGAUGAUGUUAAUUUUUUAAUGACUCAUUCGGCGCCUUACG
rnacentral:rRNA from 1 species